GAUGAACGCUGGCGGCGUGCCUAAUACAUGCAAGUAGAACGCUGAAGGAGGAGCUUGCUCUUCUGGAUGAGUUGCGAACGGGUGAGUAACGCGUAGGUAACCUGCCUGGUAGCGGGGGAUAACUAUUGGAAACGAUAGCUAAUACCGCAUGACAACAGUUAUUGCAUGAUAACUGUUUAAAAGGGGCAACUGCUCCACUACCAGAUGGACCUGCGUUGUAUUAGCUAGUUGGUGAGGUAACGGCUCACCAAGGCGACGAUACAUAGCCGACCUGAGAGGGUGGUCGGCCACACUGGGACUGAGACACGGCCCAGACUCCUACGGGAGGCAGCAGUAGGGAAUCUGCGGCAAUGGACGGAAGUCUGACCGAGCAACGCCGCGUGAGUGAAGAAGGUUUUCGGAUCGUAAAGCUCUGUUGUAAGAGAAGAACGAGUGUGAGAGUGGAAAGUUCACACUGUGACGGUAUCUUACCAGAAAGGGACGGCUAACUACGUG
rnacentral:rRNA from 1 species